AUAACGACUCUCGGCAACGGAUAUCUCGGCUCUCGCAUCGAUGAAGAACGUAGCGAAAUGCGAUACUUGGUGUGAAUUGCAGAAUCCCGUGAACCAUCGAGUCUUUGAACGCAAGUUGCGCCCGAAGCCAUCUGGCCGAGGGCACGUCUGCCUGGGCGUCACGC
rnacentral:rRNA from 2 species